AUUUGAGCCAGACACUGGACGAUGUGCCAGCCUUCUCGCUGUUUCCCGAAGGGGGGUAGACACGAGUCAGUGUGCCAGUAAGGAUGCUUGGCCCCAAAGAGGGGUGAAUUUGGUGGUGGU